GCGGAGCGGUGACCGUAGCGGGCGCUCGGGAUCACGGAGUGCGAGGGGUGCGGGAGUCGGCCUGGACCUGCUGCUGCUGUCGGGUCGGCUGCUGGACCUGUUCCGACGUCUCAGUGCUGACGACCGCGCAAGGUCCCGAUAAAAAGCGCGCCGCUGAUCGUCCGUCCUCGCCGUCGUCAUGGACGAGAAGCGGCUGCAGGCGGC